rnacentral:lncRNA from 1 species
CUCUGCCUCCACCGCCCCGGGAUCUCCUUGCGCUCGGUCCUCUACGUGGAGUCACCUAUGCAGAGGAAUUCCACGGGGCGGGGGCGAGGACAGGGUGCGGGGGUCUUUAUGGCAGACAAUCCCCGGCUGAGCGCUUGGCCAGAGUUUCUGUGAUGCUAGAAUCUGGACUGCCUGCGACCUCUCCGGGACUCGGACACCAGCCCUCGCCUCCUGGUGAUCUUUUAGGUCCUGCAGAGAAGUGAAGAGAUGAGCCCCAGAGAGGCGAAGCCACUUGAGCUCGUGAGUGACAGUCAGAUGUCAAGCCCUGCUCUUUCUAAAGCGUGCUGCCUUCAGAAAAGAAGAGCCAGAAGGAUGGAAAUUACUUCAGAAAGAUGAAUACCAGCUUUGAAGGAAUAAAAGCUGACGAGGAAUUGAAGGAGUUGAGGCACGAGCUUGAACAGGGUUGCAUGUUUGGCCCUUGAUUGUAAAUGCCCAUUGCUGCACCUGUUCCUGUUACUUGGGGAGUUGCAGCAGAAGGAACAGCGGCCUGGGACUCCAGAGAACUGGGUUCCCUCUCAUCCCUCCAGGGCCACCACUUCUUGUGGGCCCUUGGGCAAGUCACUGUACUUUCUGAGUCUCAGUUUCCCCAUUUGCAGAAUGGAAAUAACUACCCCGGUCUACCAACUUAGAAGAAUUGCUUUGAGGAUCUGAUAAGGUGGUGUGGAUGAUGCUGCCUUGGGGGCUUUACAGUCUGGAGCUCAAGGGACCCCUUAAGUUGGGCUUACUUAGUAACUCCAGGGGUGGGCAGAACAGGACUCCAAUGAGGGUUUUUUUCUUUUUCCCUUUUUUUUCUUUUCCUAUCUCUUAACUUUUAUCUUUAUUAUUUUACAAUGCCCUUGUAAGAUGAAACAAGUGAUGCUGAAAUAUCUUUUUCUUUUUUAACCUUUAUUUUAGAAUUGGGGUACAUGUGCAGGUUUGUUACAUAGGUACAGUGUGGGCUGCUGAGGUUUGGGAGUACGAAUGAAUUAGUCACCCCAGUGGUGAGCAUAGUGCCCGAUAAGUGGUUUUUUCAACCCUUACUCCCAUCCCUCUCCAUUCUUGUGUUCCCCAGUGUCUGCUGUUCCCAUUUUUAUGACCAUGUGUACUCAAUGUUUAGCUCCCACUUAGAAGUAAGAACAUGCCCAGCACUUUGGGAGGCCGAGGUGGGUGGAUCAUGAGGUCAAGAGAUCGAGACCAUCUUGGCUAACAAAGUGAAACCCUGUCUCUACUAAAAACAUAAAAAAUUGGCCGGGUGUGGUGGUGGGCACCUGUAGUCCUAGCUACUCGGGAGGCUGAGACAGGAGAAUCGCCUGAACCGGGGAGGUGGAGGUUGCAGUGAGCUGAGAUUGUACCACUGCACUCCAGCCUGGGUGACAGAGUGAGACUCCAUCUCAAAAAAAUAAAAAUAA